GACGAACGCUGGCGGCGUGCUUAACACAUGCAAGUCGAACGAGGUCCAUCCUUCGGGAGAAGACCUAGUGGCGAACGGGUGAGUAACACGUGAGCAACCUGUCCCAAAGACCGGGAUAAGCGGUGGAAACGCCGUCUAAUACCGGAUGCCCUCUACUGAUCACAUGCUCGGUUGAGGAAAUGUUUUUCGCUUGGGAGGGGCUCGCGGCCUAUCAGCUUGUUGGUGGGGUAACGGCCUACCAAGGCGUCGACGGGUAGCUGGUCUGAGAGGAUGAUCAGCCACACUGGGACUGAGACACGGCCCAGACUCCUACGGGAGGCAGCAGUGGGGAAUCUUGCGCAAUGGGCGAAAGCCUGACGCAGCAACGCCGCGUGAGGGAUGAAGGCUUUCGGGUUGUAAACCUCUUUCAGCAGGAAAGAAAAUGACGGUACCUGCAGAAGAAGCUCCGGCCAACUACGUGCCAGCAGCCGCCGUAACAC
rnacentral:rRNA from 1 species